AACGUAGGACGCAAGCGUUAUCCGGAGUUACUGGGCGUAAAGCGCGGGCAGGCGGUUGUCUAAGUCUGGUGUGAAAGCGCUUGGCUCAACCAAGCGAUGCCAUUGGAAACUGGGCAACUGGAGUCUGGCAGAGGUAGGCGGAAUUCCGGGUGGAGUGGUGAAAUGCGUAGAGAUCCGGAGGAACACCAGAGGCGAAGGCGGCCUACGGGGCCAGUACUGACGCUGAGCCGCGAAAGCCAGGGGAGCGAACGGG
rnacentral:rRNA from 1 species